AACUUCUUCUAAAUGUUUUGAAAACAUUAAAAAGACAAAUGUCUAGAAGUUU
rnacentral:tRNA from 1 species